GGCGAAAUGAACGAGUAUGUAACGAGUACGGCCGUUUGCUUUUCUCCUACUUUACUUCAGCAUAGAGAAAUCAUGCUUUUUUAGCAUUCAGAAGAAUAAAAAAAAAAUGUUGGCUUCCAAGGCUGGAUAAAACAGAAGCAGAAUUACAGAUCUAUGAAGAGAUGGAGCAUAAAAGAAUUUGUGGGCCUUUGGAAACAUAAUUUUCCUGCCAUUAAGAAAUAUGGAAAACAGUAAUUCUUUUGACAGACCCAACAUAACAUUUUCUUGUGAUCUUAGUGAUUGUACGAGAUUGUCACCUUCCCAGUACCCACUGGCUGAGAACAACAGUAUUUGUUCCAAUGAGGAUCCAGGAAGUGGGAUUCCCUUUUGGUACUUCAAUGCAAUUCCUACAGAAGAACCAUGUUAUAGGCCAUCUAGUCGUAAACUCUGUGCUCAAGUCUCUACGUGCUUUGAUCAAGAACAUAACAUAUCACUGAGGAACUCCAAAUUAAUCUGUGAUUCAAAUUUUACUUCACACAGCACUAGUCAAAAUGGUCAUGACAUUUCUGGACACUCAUUACUUUAUCAGGUUGAAGAUGAGUCAUUCACAGCAGUACCAAAUUACCAGUUAGCAAGUGAUGAUUUUGAUAAAUCAAGAGAGGAUGUCUUCAAAGGUAGCAUAAGAAAAGAGCCAAUGGGAAGUGAGAAUAAAGACAUUUCUUUGUCUGUGGUGACAUCUUUACAUUGCAGUAGUGAACUAAAUGGUGAAAGUCAUCAAUUAGUUUCUUCUACCAAUUCAGAGAAACCCGAGUGUGUAACAUUACCAGUUAGCACCGUAAAAGCAAAUGAACAAAGUCUUUGUCAGCAGGUAAAGAAGGAUAGCAUGAGUUUUCACCAUCCAUGGCCUCCCAUAAUAGGUCAGUCUUUUGAUAUUUCUUCAGGAGGUUGUUGUAAUGAAAACAAUGAUUAUUGCAAAGAAGGUUCUGAAAGCGAAGAAAGUAAACAAUCAUGGCUACAGAGUGAAAGUUCUGGAGAGGAUCAGGAUACAUUGUCUCAGAGAGUGGAAGCUCUUCUUGGAGAAAAGAUUAUAUAUACACAAGAUUCUGAAGAGUCUUGCCAACUGAAAGAUUCUUCUAAUGAUAAUUGGAAUGAAAACAACCCACUACAAGAACAGACAAACUCUGAUAAAAUUGUAGCUGCCCAGGAGAUGAAUCAACAUCAGAACAGAGAUUUCUUCCUUUCUAAUCAAAUGAGUGUUAACAAAAGCGAUAGUGAAAUAAAAACUAAUUAUUCCAAGUCCAAACUGACGGAUUUACCCAUAAAAGCAAACGAAAUAAAAUUAUUGAAAAUAGAUGCACCUUAUUUUCCCAACUGUGAUUUGCCAUAUUCAAAUGACACAAUUUUUCCUACAGUAAAUUUAGGACAAAAGACUAGUAAGAAGAAACUUGAAGAUGGUCAUCAAAGUAAUACUGACCUAGAAGAGAGAGGGCUUCUUGGUACUGGAGAGGAGAGAGUUUUGUCUCCUCUUUCUAUGUGUAGUGCAACAUCAAGUAGGCGCUUAGAAUGGGACAGUGGGGCAGAUAUUGGGUACCCUGUAUCUCCUACUUGUUGUAGGGCUGAGCCAGAAGGAUAUUCCUCUAUUCUUACUGACAAAGUAUUAGUAAUAAAUAAAAGAGAAAAGGGUAUUCAAACUCUAAUAAAUGAGGACAAUAGUUUAGAAGAUACCUUCAGUGUGAGUGGAGAAUCUGUGAGUUCAGAAUGCAUUUUAGAAAGCUUGUAUGAUAAACAGUGUUUCUCUAGUCCUUGUGACACUUCUCAUAAACAAACAGAGAGGAAGCAGUUGAUUGAUAAAGUUCACCAUAUAUUACAGUCAUCUAGAGCAAAGAGGUUAACGGCUCAAGAAACAAACAAUUUGUUAGGGAGAACACUAGUUUCAAGAACUGAGGAUAAUGUUAAUGUAUUAAAAAAUCAAAACUGUGUUGCUGACAAUGAACAUAGUGAUGAUUGUUCUACACCUGACUGUUCAAUAUAUAAUGACUUAGAAAUUUUGAAAAUCACAAAUUCUUUGUGCUCAUUGAAUGUGAGUGUAGGGGUUAUAUCCAGCAGAAAAGUAAGUAGCCAACCUCUUGUAACAUGGAUUUAUACAAAUCCAUCAAUAAACAGUCCUCAGGUUUCUGUAACACAUAACACUGCACCAUUAAGUUGCAUCAAAGACCUGUUUGGGGGGGAAACAAAGGAAACAUCAGUGGUUGAAGAAACCAAUUAUCAACUGUGUGAUGGUAAAUUUAUUAGAGGUAAUGACACUAACUGUAAUGACAAAUCAUAUUUUUCCAAUAGGGUAUCAGUUUGCCAUGACAAUUGUGCUAUGGGAACUUUAUGUCAUAGUAGUCAGACUAAUUUGAGUUCUGUUGUUGGAUGCAAUAAUAAAGAAACCCAAGAUAUUCAGCAGAAUGAGGAAAGUAAAGAUUUUCAAAUUCACACAGACCCAGCUGGAAAGAUAAACCUUUCAGAAGUUCAAGUCAAGGAUAUAUCUGAUUACAAUGUACAAACCUGUAAUGAGUCUCAGUGGGAGAACACUCAAAAUACUUUUGUCAGAAACAAGACAAAUGAAAACUCUGUUUCUGUACACAGUAUUUUUUCACAUUAUGUAAAACCUGCUGUUCAGGAUUUUAAUCAAAGUCCAGGUAUUGAUAAAAGUAAUUUAUGGGUUAUGAUUGAAAAAGGUGAGAAUCAACAAAAGAAUUUACCUGUAAAUCAUAUUAGCAAAAGACUGGUAAAUAAAAGUAUGACUGAUCAAGAAAACCAGCUAAAAGAAGUUGUAAACAUUGAUAAACAAAAUGUUGAAAAUAGGAGAGCAUUUCGGUCAUUUCCAUAUAACAAAAAUUUUAGUCAAGAAGAGCAUUUUACUAAUUCACAUUGCUUAGAAAACAUUGGUAGAGAACAGUUAUUCAAAUUCAAUGACAGUAAAGCACAAGAUAUAAAAACAGGCUAUCAAGAAAUUCAUUUAGCACCAAUUAACAGCAGUGCCUUAUUAAUUUUGGAGAAUUCUAAGUACUUACAUUCAGAUCUAAAGAAAAAGGAUUCUCAAGGCUUUGAGAGAGAUGCUGAAAAGUCAUCAUUUGCUUGUGAAACUCUCAUUAGUAGUCAUCUUCCUGAUUUGAUGAAACCUAAUGUUUCUGAAGCACAAACAUCUAAACUAUUUCAAGUAAUAAAGACUGAUACAACUAUGUCAGAAGGGUCAUACUGUGCUACAGAGGUAGGAACCAGAAUAAAGUCACCUUUAAAAUACAGUUCACAAUUGCCUUCUGUAGAAAAAAACUCGGGUGUUUUCUAUCCUGUGGGAACCCCAGCUGAUCAACAUAAAAUUAAAGAUGCUUCUUUACUCUCAAAUUCCCACACCUUUGAUCCUGAUAAGGACAGUAACUCAACAGAUAAACAUGUUUCUGCAUUCUCAACAAAGUUUGCUAACACUAAACAGCAUUUUAAACUUCCUUCUGUUCAAUGUGUUAGUAAACAUGACCAGUGCUUUUCCCAGUGCAGAAUCAUCCCUAUUGAAAGUAAUCAACACUCUGUGCAAGAAAUAUUAAAAGACAUAUCUUCCUCUGCAAACCAUGCUGUUACCAAAGAGAGCAAGUCUUAUGCUACUUUCAGUGAAUGUGCUAAUGCAAAUGUGGGACAUCAGGAUAAUCACAAAGAAUUGUCAAAUGAAAUACAUGUUCCAAGUUUUGAAACAUGGAUGCAUCCUUCAACAGUAAGUAUGAAUACACAUCAAAGAUCUCCCGAGUCAAUAAAUACUGAUCUGAAUAAAAAUCAUCAAAAAAUUCUUGCUACUUUCAAGACUGAUAAAGAAGCUGUUUCUGAAACAUGUCAAGUAUGUGGAUUCAAGUCUAGAUCAAUAAUACAUCGACAAAAGCAACUUCCAAACAGACUUUCCACUGAACAAUCUCAUGAAAUGUGUAUAUCAUAUACACCUUUGUAUCUACAAUCAGCAAGUCAGGAAUCUGUGUUAUCAUCAAAGCCAAAAUGCAGAAGCUGCAUCUCUACUGUUACAGACACUUCACUUACAGAUGACCCCACAAUAAUAUCUGAGAAGCUACAAAAGAAAUUCAGCUGUAAACAGUUGCCACAGUGGGAAAAAUACCAUAAGCAGUACAAUGUUCCAAGUGCUUGGCACCUGUCAGGGAGCCUGGAAAACCUAUUAAAGAAAUCACAGCCAGUCUUAGAAAGGAGUACCACUACUUCUCAUCAUAGCCUUGAAGACAUGGAGAAAGAGGUCGUGAAAUCAAGGUCCGAGACUGAUCAGUUAGGUGUUAACAGUUAUGUGUCUGUUUCACAUUCAAAGAAUUCACUUGCUCGACCAAGCAAGAAAGUGUUAUUAUCUGAUGAACUAAGUUCGAAUGUAUCUGAAAGAAAGUCUGUGAAAGCACCAUGGGAAGAAUAUUUAUAUAAACUUAAUACGCUUACUGAUUGUGGUGAGAGUGCAACUUCUGUUAAGCAGAACAGUUCAGGAGAGGAAAGGUAUGAUGAAGACUUUAGAAGUAAGAAUGUUCAAGGUGAGGUAAGGUCUGAGAAAAUUAACAGUUACAAAGAUCACACAUCUUUAAAAAAGGAAGGCAAGAAAACUGUUUUACAAGCACAUCAGCAAUCAAGAACAAAGUCUCCUCUUCACAGUGCUCGACAUCAAAAUGUAGUCUAUCCAGUGAGGAGAAAAAGAGAAACUGCCAAAAAAGAGCUGGAAAAAUUAAAACAUUUGGUUGAUCGGCAGAAAAAGAGCUAUUUACACAGACUUCAAAGAGAAGUAGAGCGACUAGAACGUUUGGGUAAAUUAUUUCAAGAAAGUAGCCCAACAGAUGAUGAUAAAGCAAGUAGUGUUUACACUAAAGUACAGGAGAUUUCCGAAAGCUGGUCGUCUGCUAAAGGAACAACAUCUUCUGCAAGUAGUAGUUUCUGUACUGUAAAAACAAAAACUCUCUCAAAGCAUGCUGACCUGUCCAAUUUGUAUGACCACUAUCCAGCACAGAAGUUAAAAAGAAAAGUUUUACACUCAGCUUGUGCUCAGGAAAUGCAGAAAUUAAGAAUGGAUGAAAAAGGUGAACUGUCUAAUUAUCAUGGCUCAAAGUUUACACAUAGGAGAAAGCACAUUGAGAAAACACCUCCAGAACUUGUAUCAGUUUGUGUUCAAACUCAAGUGGAACCCCAAGAGGGUACAAACAAACAUGAACGUCAGUUUGUAUCUACUGGACUUUUAUCAUCAUUUGAAAGGAAGAAAUUUGCAUGUCAGAAAGGAAAAAAUUAUAGAAACCAAAGAAUUAAUUCAGCAAAGAAACCUUUAAGAAAAAUGACUCCUCCUAGUGUAUCAUGGUUUGUGCCUGUAACAAUCAAUGUGAGGAAAAACAACCAGAGUGAAGCGUUUCAUAAACAUCUACAGGAAACUGGAAAGAUUACUCUUCAGGAUGCAUUCAACAAGCAUUGUUCUCACCUCAUUAAAAAUUCACAACAGAGACUUCAGAACAUAGCAAGCUUAGCUGAAUUUCGAAAACAUCAUUCAGCAAAAUAUGUGAUGAAUGGUCAUAUCAGUCACAAACGAAGGAGUCAUAGGAUCAGCAAGACAUUUAAAGAUAAUCAUCAGCAAAAGAGAAAAAUUUUCUCUCAUUGGGAGAUGAGGCAACAGACAGAAAAAGUAUAUCAGAAUCUUCCUGAAGUUGUGAAAAAGUCUGAAAAUGCUAGACGAGCUCAGGAAUACAAGAACAAUCAACUGAAAGUACAUAUCUAUAACCAGAAACUGAAGGAAAGAGUGCUAAAGGGAAAAGUGAGUUUACCUAUUACCCAACAGUGUUGUCGUACAGCUGUUCAUGAAUUAGCUAAGCAACCAGCAGAGUAGAAAGCUUCCUUUCUGCUGAUUUUUCAGUGUUAGAUUGUACAGUGUUUCAAGUGAUGCAUGUGUGAAUGCACAUUCUUCACCAAAGACACUUUAAGUUUAAUAUCUGUUACUUAACAAUGCCUAACUUAGCAAAGAGUCUUGUAUUGCAUCAGUGCUGUAUUUGAUGGAGAAGUUAUGCAUCAUCUGUGAUGUUAAGAUUCAUUGCAAGAUGUGGAUUUGCUAAUUAGCAAUUAACUGACUUUCUUGCAAGGAAGAUAGCAUCUGACAUCCAGAAAUAUAGAUAUUUAUUUAACUCUCAGUGGGCAUGGAUCCUGAAUGUGAGUUUGUAUGCAAACUUGACUUUAUUUAUGUUUUGUUUUUGUACUUAAGGCCAGAUUUGCUCCUAUAAGAGUGAAUAUUUUAAGGUUUUAGGAGAUUUAGACGAGGAUUUUAGACAGAACUUCACAGAUAUAUAUUUAGAGUGUUAACUUGCUUUGUUUAAACUUUAGACUGUGUUUAAUCUUGUGAAAUCUAUAAAUGUAACAUUUAGUUUAUUUUUUGUUGUUUAACUUUGGAUUUUAGUAGUAGUAGUAACUUCAGAGUUAUGUUAGCUUGAGUUUAACUUUUAGUAAGUGAACAUUGUUUUGGGUUCACUUCGAGAGUAGUGUUUGCUUAAAACAUAGUUUGUUUUUGCAUUUUUAGAUUUAACUUUUGGAUUUUACUAAAAAUUAUUGUUGUGGUUUCACUCUUAUUUUUAAGCUUUGAGGUAUUAGUUUAACAUAUGGGGGGGGGGGACACACACACCAAACUGAUAAAUUUUUCAAUAAACUUUCAUUCUUGCUCUUGUAAUUUUGACUUGUACUAGUAGACA
rnacentral:misc_RNA from 1 species